rnacentral:rRNA from 1 species
UGUGUAGGCGGUUCUUUUAAGUUUGGUGUGAAAUCUCCCGGCUCAACCGGGAGGGUGCGCCGAAUACUGAGGGACUCGAGUGCGGGAGAGGAAAGUGGAAUUCCUGGUGUAGCGGUGAAAUGCGUAGAUAUCAGGAGGAACACCGGUGGUGUAGACGGCUUUCUGGACCGUAACUGACGCUGAGACACGAAAGCGUGGGUAGCAAACAGGAUUAGAUACCCUGGUAGUCCACGCCCUAAACGAUGCAUAUUUGGUGUGGGUCAUUCAGUUGAUCCGUGCCGGAGCUAACGCGUUAAAUAUGCCGCCUGGGGAGUACAGUCGCAAGGCUGAA